rnacentral:rRNA from 1 species
AACGAAAAGUGGCGCACGGGUGCGUAACGCGUAUGCAACCUACCUUAUUCAGGGGGAUAGCCCGAAGAAAUUCGGAUUAACACCGCAUAAAAUCAUAGACCAGCAUUGGUUAAUGAUCAAAUAUUUAUAGGAAUAAGAUGGGCAUGCGUGUCAUUAGCUAGUUGGCGGGGUAACGGCCCACCAAGGCGACGAUGACUAGGGGAUCUGAGAGGAUGACCCCCCACACUGGUACUGAGACACGGACCAGACUCCUACGGGAGGCAGCAGUAAGGAAUAUUGGUCAAUGGAGGCAACUCUGAACCAGCCAUGCCGCGUGCAGGAAGACAACCCUCUGGGUCGUAAACUGCUUUUAUUCGGGAAUAAACCUUUCUACGUGUAGAGAGCUGAAUGUACCGAAGGAAUAAGGAUCGGCUAACUCCGUGCCAGCAGCCGCGGUAAUACGGAGGAUCCAAGCGUUAUCCGGAUUUAUUGGGUUUAAAGGGUGCGUAGGCGGCUUAUUAAGUCAGGGGUGAAAGACGGUGGCUCAACCAUCGCAGUGCCUUUGAUACUGAUGAGCUUGAAUGAACUAGAGGUAGGCGGAAUGUGACAAGUAGCGGUGAAAUGCAUAGAUAUGUCACAGA